rnacentral:tRNA from 1 species
CAAUUCAUAGUUUAUGUAGAAUGCGGGUUUUGGGGAUCUGUGGUCUCUUUUGGAGUGAAUUGA